CGGGGCGUAGCUUAACUUGGUAGAGCACCUGCUUUGGGAGCAGGAGGUUGCUGGUUCAAAUCCAGUCGCCCCGA
rnacentral:tRNA from 1 species